rnacentral:rRNA from 1 species
GAUGAACGCUGGCGGCGUGCCUAAUACAUGCAAGUCGAGCGAACAGAUAAGGAGCUUGCUCCUUUGACGUUAGCGGCGGACGGGUGAGUAACACGUGGGUAACCUACCUAUAAGACUGGAAUAACUCCGGGAAACCGGUGCUAAUGCCGGAUAACAUGUUGAACCGCAUGGUUCUACAGUGAAAGGCGGCUUUGCUGUCCCUUAUAGAUAGCCCCCCGCCGUAUUAGCUAUUUGGUAAGGUAACGGCUCCCCAAGGGAACGAAACGUACCCACCCUGAGAGGGUGAUCGGCCACACUGGAACUGAGACACGGUCCAGACUCCAACGGGAGGCAGAAGUAGGGAAUCUCCGGCAAUGGGCGAAAGCCUGACGGAGCAACGCGGCGUGAUGGAUGAAGGUCUUCGGAUCGUAAAACCCUGUGAUUAGGGAAGAACAAAUGCGUAAGUAACUGUGCGCGUCUUGACGGUACCUAACCAGAAAGCCACGGCUAACUACGUG